CUAUAGCGUGAUGAGUAGCGCAUUGGACUUCUAAUCCAAAAGUCGUGGUUUCGAAUCACACCUGGGAAGA